AGGUCAGUAGGUUGGUCGUGCCACCGGUACGUACUGGUCUCACUGAUUCCUCCUUCCUGAAGAACCGUAAUGCCAUUAAUUUGGUGUUGCGGGGAAACAGGACUGUUACUUUGAAAAAAUUAGAGUGUUUAAAGCAAGCUAACGCUUGAAUACAUUAGCAUGGAAUAAUGAAAUAGGACGAUCGAUCCUAUUUUGUUGGUCUCUAGGAUUGACGUA
rnacentral:rRNA from 1 species